rnacentral:rRNA from 1 species
UACGGGGGGGGGCAAGCGUUGUUCGGAAUUACUGGGCGUAAAGGGCUCGUAGGCGACCAACUAAGUCGGACGUGAAAUCCCCAGGCUCAACCUGGGAACUGCGUCUGGUACUGGAUGGCUUGAAUCCGGGGAGAGGGAUGCAGAAUUCCAGGUGUAGCGGUGAAAUGCGUAGAUAUCUGGAGGAAUACCGGUGGCGAAGGCGGCAUCCUGGACCGGCAUUGACGCUGAGGAGCGAAAGCCAGGGGAGCAAACGGG